rnacentral:rRNA from 1 species
GACAGAGGGGGCAAGCGUUGCUCGGAAUUACUGGGCGUAAAGGGCGCGUAGGCGGCGUGUCAAGUCGAUUGUGAAAUCUCCGGGCUUAACUCGGAACGGCCAAUCGAUACUGACGUGCUAGAGUGCAGAAAGGGCAAUCGGAAUUCUUGGUGUAGCGGUGAAAUGCGUAGAUAUCAAGAGGAACACCUGAGGCGAAGGCGGGUUGCUAGGCUGACACUGACGCUGAGUGCGCGAAAGCCAGGGGAGCAAACGGG